UUAGAGUUUGAUCCUGGCUCAGGAUGAACGCUAGCGGUCGGCCUAACACAUGCAAGUCGAGCGGCAGCAUUGUGUAGCAAUACACAGAUGGCGAGCGGCGAACGGGUGCGUAACGCGUAGGUAACUUGCCCUUAACCGGGGAAUAGCCCGACGAAAGUUGGAUUAAUACCCCAGACAUCUAGAUAAGGCAUCUUAAUUAGAUUAAAGUUUCGGCGGUUAAGGAUAGGCCUGCGUCCCAUUAGCUAGUUGGUGAGGUAAAGGCUCACCAAGGCGACGAUGGAUAGGUGGUCUGAGAGGACGAUCCUCCACACUGGCACUGAGACACGGGCCAGACUCCUACGGGAGGCAGCAGUGAGGAAUAUUGCGCAAUGGGCGAAAGCCUGACGCAGCCAGACCGCGUGUAGGAAGACAGUCGUAAGAUUGUAAACUACUUUUAUCUGAGAGGAAACCUACGGACGUGUCCGUAGCUGACAGUCCAAAACGAAUAAGGAUCGGCUAACUCCGUGCCAGCAGCCGCGGUAAUACGGAGGAUCCAAGCGUUAUCCGGAUUUAUUAGGUUUAAAGGGUGCGCAGGCGGGAAGAUAAGUCAGCGGUGAAAUCCUGUAGCUCAACUACAGAACUGCCGUUGAUACUGUUUUUCUUGAGUUCGGUUGAGGUAGGCGGAAUGUGUUGUGUAGCGGUGAAAUGCUUAGAUAUAACACAGAACACCGAUUGCGAAGGCAGCUUACUAAACCAUAACUGACGCUCAUGGACGAAAGCGCGGGGAGCGAACAGGAUUAGAUACCCUGGUAGUCCGCGCCGUAAACGAUGAUUACUCGUUGUGCGCGAUACACAGUGCGUGACUGAGCGAAAGCAUUAAGUAAUCCACCUGGGGAGUACGUUCGCAAGAAUGAAACUCAAAGGAAUUGACGGGGGCCCGCACAAGCGGAGGAACAUGUGGUUUAAUUCGAUGAUACGCGAGGAACCUUACCCGGGCUUAAAUGCAGAAUGACCGUUGCCGAAAGGUGAUUUCCCUUCGGGGCAAUUUGCAAGGUGCUGCAUGGCUGUCGUCAGCUCGUGCCGUGAGGUGUCGGGUUAAGUCCCAUAACGAGCGCAACCCCUAUCACUAGUUGCCAGCGGAUAAUGCCGGGGACUCUAGUGAGACUGCCACCGUAAGGUGUGAGGAAGGUGGGGAUGACGUCAAGUCAGCACGGCCCUUAUGUCCGGGGCUACACACGUGUUACAAUGGCAAGUACAAAGAGUCGCUACACGGUGACGUGAUGCUAAUCUCGUAAAACUUGUCUUAGUUCGGAUCGAAGUCUGCAACUCGACUUCGUGAAGUUGGAUUCGCUAGUAAUCGUAGAUCAGCAACGCUACGGUGAAUACGUUCCCGGGCCUUGUACACACCGCCCGUCAAGCCAUGGAAGCUGGGGGUGCCUGAAGUCUGUAACCGAAAGGAGCGGCCUAGGGUAAAACCGGUAACUGGGGCUAAGUCGUAACAAGGUAGCCAAGGGCGAA
rnacentral:rRNA from 1 species